ACGAGAAAGUGGAGCAAUCCAUGAGUAAAGUGGCGUACGGGUGAGUAACACGUGGGUAAUCUACCUCUUAGUGGGGAAUAACCCUCGGGAAACCGGGGCUAAUACCGCAUAAGCUCGAGAGAGGAAAGCAGCAAUGCGCUGAGAGAGGAGCCCGCGGCCGAUUAGCUAGUUGGCAGGGUAAGAGCCUACCAAGGCAGAGAUCGGUAGCCGGCCUGAGAGGGCACACGGCCACACUGGCACUGAAACACGGGCCAGACUCCUACGGGAGGCAGCAGUGGGGAAUCUUGCACAAUGGGGGAAACCCUGAUGCAGCGACGCCGCGUGAGCGAUGAAGCCCUUCGGGGUGUAAAGCUCUUUCGGCAGGGAAGAUGAUGACGGUACCUGCAGAAGCAGCUGCGGCUAACUACGUGCCAGCAGCCGCGGUAAUACGUAGGCAGCGAGCGUUGUUCGGAGUUACUGGGCGUAAAGGGUGUGUAGGCGGUUCUUUAAGUUUGGUGUGAAAUCUCCCGGCUCAACCGGGAGGGUGCGCCGAAUACUGAGGGACUUGGAGUGCGGGAGAGGAAAGUGGAAUUCCUGGUGUAGCGGUGAAAUGCGUAGAUAUCAGGAGGAACACCGGUGGUGUAGACGGCUUUCUGGACCGUAACUGACGCUGAGACACGAAAGCGUGGGUAGCAAACAGGAUUAGAUACCCUGGUAGUCCACGCCCUAAACGAUGCAUAUUUGGUGUGGGUCAUUCAGUUGAUCCGUGCCGGAGCUAACGCGUUAAAUAUGCCGCCUGGGGAGUACAGUCGCAAGGCUGAAACUCAAAGGAAUUGACGGGGGCCCGCACAAGCGGUGGAGCAUGUGGUUCAAUUC
rnacentral:rRNA from 1 species